CGUUUGGACUUAUCUCACAGCUGCAGAGCAACAAAUAAGUUUCUGUGGCAACACCACAAAUUUAUUGGAGAAAUGAAAAAAAAAAACUCAAAGAAAACUGUGAGGUGCAAAGUGAGGGAGGAGGAGAACAGUCCCCAAAGCGACUGGAGCCUCUGUACUGAGACAGCAGUCUCUGGCAGAGACCUCUCAGCAGGACCAGCAACAUCCAGAUCAGCAGUGUGUUCACAGCAAACAGAGUCCGGACGCCUUCUGAGGAUUUCUACUGAUAUCUCCCAGCUGAGGAUCACUGACGUCUCCGAGCUGCAGAGGGCAGCAGCUCACCAGCAGAACCAGGAGCAGGAAACCAGAGGAGGGUCCAGCUUCAACCCUGCUGAGCAGGAAGAGAAACUCUUUACACUCUAACUGUUGUUGAGAGGAGAAGAUGUCUCAGCCACAGACCAGAGCAGACUUCUUACAAUAUUCCCAGCAGAUCACACUGGAUCCAAACUCUGCAAAGAGAAAUCUGUUAUUAUCUGACAGGAACAGAAGAGUCACUUUAACAUGGAUGGUUCUCCCUUAUUCUGACUCAGACUCAGAGAGAUUCACUGAAUUGCCUCAGGUUGUGAGCAGAGAGAGUCUGACUGGACGUCAUUACUGGGAGGUGGAGUGGAGAGGAACAGGAGUUAUUGUAGCCGUCACCUACAAGAACAUCAGCAGAGCAGGGGUGGGAAGGGAAUGUGAAUUUGGACGAAAUGACAAAUCUUGGGCUUUAGGUUGUAACCUUGCCCAAUUCUUUUACAAGCAUGACAAUAGCGCAAAAAUCCUCCCGCGUCCCUGUUCUUCCAGAGUGGGAGUGUACCUGGAUCACACAGCAGGGAUUCUGUCUUUCUACAGCGUCUCUGAAACCAUGACUCUCCUCCACAGAGUCCAGACCUCCUUCACUCAGCCGCUACACGCUGGGGUUAAACUAAUUGGUCCUGAAGGAGCCUCUGCAGAGUUCCUGAACCCUCAGUAGUGGACUCCCUUCAGAUCUGCUUAUGUAGUUUUCUGAAUGAGCCGCCACAUUUUCUGAACUGAGACAGACGAUGAGAUUUCUGACAGGAGGAUUUAAAACCAACAGAUGGUCCGCCGUCUUCUAAGAGACUUUCUAUGUGGACAAAAAGAUGAGUCUGUCAAACUGUCCAAACUGACCUAAACUCUCCAAAACUGACAACCUGAACGACGCUCUCCAAAGGGGAGGAGGCGGAGGAACAUCAUGUGACAUAAUCUUACUCGCUGCACCUUUAAACCGGUGAUUCAUGUAUUUGGGGUGAAUGCAGCCAUUAGCAGGGCUCUUCUGAAUCUAAUGUGUUCAUUUCAGCUGUUUUGCAGGCGUUGAUUGCUUCCUGGUUUUGUGUAGUUUGAACUGUGUUGUGCUGCAUGGUAGGUUGUGUUUUGUAGCUGUGGCCUUAGUGAAGCAUGCUCAUCACAUGAUCUCUGCCAGUGUGUUUAAUCUGUGGUAGUUACUUUUAGCGGACACUGGAUGGCAGUGAUGGUCUUAAUAUGACUGAAAUUUCUCUGAAAUCUUCCUUAUUUCAGCUCGAUUUUGUCCGUCAGUAUGCCUUAUUAUGGUUCAGUUUCUGAUAAGUGUUCUUUAUUAUGCCAAUGUUUCUGUUCAGUAUUUUUCAGUGUCUUAUUGUGCUAACAUAAUAUGAUAAGAGAAAAUAAUUUGUAUACCUUCUGUAUGUUUAAACAGAUCACACACAAAUACCAUCAAUGUGCAAUAGAGAGCUGUAGAGAAGAGGCGGUGUUGGAAAUCAAAGUUUUCUCUUUUCCAGCUCCUGAGCAGUCCCCAACGUGCUUUAGGCCAGUUUCUCAACUGGUGGGUUUUGGGUCCUGAACCUGUUCUCAGUGGGUCAGUCACUGGCCUUUGCCUGGGUCAUGGUGGACAUGGUGGAGUAAACAUGGUGCUGUCCGUGGUGCUGAAGUGUCAAAUUCAUAGCAGAACUUCAGAUUUUGAAUGCCUGAUACACUCAAAAGAAUACACACACACACACACACACACACACACACACACACACACACACACACACACACA